UAGAGCCCCACAGGAGGGAUCUCUGCUCUGGGGAGGCAAAUACACUACGGAUCUUCUCACUUCAUUUUCCUGGGAAUAUUCUGUUGGUGCGGCAGGGGGAGGGGAGAGAGAAUGUUGUCACCACACCAUGGGAUGGCCAGUGGUUCUGUCUCCAAUCUCCACUGACUCUAGAGGCUCCAUUGGAAGCCCUUCUCUCCUUCACUCUGGUUCAAUCCCUCACUCUGUACCUCAUUUGCCCUCCCCCUGCGUUUUUAUUCUUCCUUUUCAAGAUCUUUUUAUAUUCUCAGAGUUUCUUCUGCCUGCCUCGAUCUUUUCAACUCCUGCUUCCCAAAAGUUCUUCUAGUGGAGGAGCAGCCUGAGGGCAAUGAAACUGGUCUCCUCUCUGUAACGAUGCUACUUACCCACUCCUCACAUCUCAACUUCUGCAGGUUUAGAGGUCAGAGUUCUCCCCGUGACAUUCCUCUCUUUACAAGUGAUCUUUGCAGCAGCAGCCAGACAGGAGGAGGGAAGAACUCUUGGAACUGAAAAGUUCAACAUGGAUUGUGACUGUGCAAUUGGAGACAGAAUAUCUGACGAGAAGGUGGGUUACUGACUGAACUACAGGGAAAAGUCAGUGAGAAGAAAUUAAUCAGAAGCAAGGUGAAGUGUGUGGACUUGAUUCUGCCAGGAACUGAGCAGCAGUCAAUUACUUGCUUAGAUGCUUUGCUGGAUCAGGGUCAAAGUAUUGAGCACCUUGCAGAAGUUCAGGGCCAGAGUGUUUAGCACCUUGCCCUAACAGAAGAACAUUGUGAGGAAAGUGAUGGUGACAUGAAGAAAACAUCUCUAAUAAUAUAAUUGGAAGUACUACAAAUAUUUGGCACCCUUCAUAAAUGGAUCUCAAAGCAUUUACCAACUUUAAUUAGUUUACACUUUAUAUAUUAUGUAGCUCAAUAUGGCAAAAUGUGAUAGCAAGGUAUAUCUUGGGGUUUGAUAAUAGCUGGAUCUUCUUUAUGGGCCAAAUAUAACAGUUCUAACUCAGUCAAGUCAGUAGGAGCAGUGGGUGCUUAACACCUCUAAAAAUCAGGUCACUUCUUUUUUAGGAGCUUAACUAUGCAUGUAGGUGCCUAACUUUAGGAAUUCUAGAGUGGGAUUCUCAAAAGUGCCUAAGGAAAUUGAGUUGCAAUAGGAAUUUGAAAAUCCCAUCCUUAUGUUUGAAAUCCUAGCCAAUUAUAACAGUUUUUAUCCAGAAAGAUGAUGAUAUACCAUAAUUCUGUUACUCAAGUAAGGUUUUAAAUUAUUCAUUAUUUAUUCAGUCUGUAUUUCUGUUGAGAGGUAGGUCGACUGAAAUCAUCUGUACACAAAACAUAUGUUCAUAAAACACAGCCUCAUUUUCUACUCUGAGGUUGGUUUUUUUUUUUUUUAAGUUCAGUAUGUGUGGAUCCAUGCCUGAAUCCUAUUCCAUUUCAGGUUGCUUUCAAACAUGGCCAAAGAAAGGAAAGGAGAAAAUGAAUUGAUAUUGCAAGGUGAAAUAAAAUGUAUAAUGAAAGAAAUUAAACAAUGUUUGUGCAUCAAGUCUGGCAGAAUUCUUCCUAGGAAUGUAUCUUAUCAGUGAUCAGACUGAGCAAUGAUCUGUUUCAUUUUACUUUACCCAAUUUGUCAGUGGCAGAAGAAAACAAACAACCAGCAAUCCUGAUAAUUGUAAAAAGCUGGUGUAGUCAGUCAGUGCAAAUGAAUUCUAAUAAGCCUGUCCUAACAUCCCUGUAGCCUGAAAUCUCCUCCUCCUUAUCAUUUAAAACCUUAUCACAAUGAUUUUUUGGCUUGCUCCAUAUUAUCCAAUGUAAUUUGCAAAAAAUAUACAUUCGUAAGUUCCCUGAGAACAUAGAGCACUGGGUUUAGUUUUGGCUUUUGUAGAACCCUGGAAGCUGGUGAAUUAUGUAAAUUAUUAAUUUAAUUUUUGUGUUUUGCUGCCAUGAAUUAGCAUAUCACCAUAUAUUUUCUAAAUAAGAAGUUCACGUGUGUCUUCACAAAACUUUAAAACAGGGGUAGGCAACCUUUCAGAAGUGAUGUGCCGAGUCUUCAUUUAUUCAUUUUAAUUUAAGGUUUC